GUCUGGGUGCCAGCCCUUGAAAGUGGAAAAUUAAUGACCUUAAUUCCCAAACUGGUUCGCCCAGAGCUGUGCACACGGCCCACCCCCUCCCCCUGUGGCCGGGCGGCCCCAGCCCCGGCCCAGGCCCGGGCCGUGCUGGUUGGUCCCUGGAUCUGGAGACGUGGCUUGGCGCUCCUUGCUGAAGGUCCUGUUUGUCCACCACAAGGGGCCUCCCCUGGACCUCCUGAAUCCUCUGUCAUCAGUUUCGGCUGCCUGAAGCCCCGACCAGACUUCACCCACUCUGCUGCCCACAACCUAGCCGAACGGUCUGAAGAGAGAAGAAGACUCCAGAAAGAAGGCUCCCGUGGCUCUGAGUCUUCCUGCCCAGUCCUGUGGGAGAAGCUCAGCCUGCAGGAGGGCAUGGGGAAUCCCAGCUGGGAGCAUCAGCCCUCACGGACCAGGAGUUGACCAGUAGCUGACCCGUUUCCGGACCCUAUAAACUUGGUGGAGAGACGAGAAGGUCCAUUGGGAAGAUUUCUUUGAGGAUCAUUCCUGAGCCAGCAAAGACUUCUUGAUGUGGUCUGAUCAGUCCUCAUUAUGCGCGAUAGCAACAAAGUGCCCCUGGUCAUCCCUUGCCACCCCCACUUCCCACAUCCACCACUGAUUGCACUGGCUCAGCCCCGUGCAGUGGGUCUGCCCACAUCGAUCGAGAUAGCCCAUCCAUUUCCCCAUCUUCCUCUUUGGCACAACGCAGACUCAGGCCUCAGAACCAUCAUAAUCACUUCCACUUAUGGUUGUUAACCAUGUUCCAGAGGAGAUGGGGACUGUCAUUACGCCCAUUUUACAAAUGAGCAAACAGAGGCUGUAGACGUUAUAUGACUUAGCCCAACUCACAGGAGGCAGCAGAGUUAGCGUUUAAACCAGGCUUGGCUGGCACCAUGUCCUACAUUUUCAGCUGCUCUGCCUUCCCACCUCUAGAGCCUCUGGAUGCUGAAGGCCUGGUUGAAUCUGCACACAAGCCACUCAGCACCGAGGUGCAGGAUGCGGGUGGUGGGCGGUGCCCAUGCCGAGGUGCAGGCUGGGGAAAGCAUGACCCACAGGUGCAUGGAUUGGGUGGGGGCCGUUCCCACGCCUGUUUGCGGGUCAGAGGGACAGAACCUGGAAGCUGGGCCUCUCUCCUCCUGACAGAAGUAAGGGCCUGAGUCGAUUUCUCACUGAGCUGAAGUCAGGCCAAAGCUGCUUCCUCACAGGUGUGGAGUUGCUCCCCUGUUGGCUGGAAAUUUGACUGCGGUUGAUUUAAAAUCCCGACACCUGUGUCCAUCACCCCACCCUCCACUCUGAUUACCGUCCCUAUAAAGUUCCUAAUCCCUGUGCUUAUGCAGUGUCCUUCCCCUCUGACGGGCCGGACCUAUGUAAGCAGGAGAUUGGGUUAUUAUGUAGAAGAGUUAUAAUAAGAAAUAUGACUGCAAAAGCCAAGUCAGUUGAAAUUGGACUAUAAUUAAAUGCUUAGAAAAUUC